rnacentral:lncRNA from 1 species
UUUUGAAAAAGUUAUAAUUAUAUUAAAAAGGUUAGAAAUGAGAAUAGGUAAAAGCAAGGUUAGUUAUCCAUAGGGGAAAGAAGGAAGCAGAAGAACAAUAUCAUAUGACGUGAAAGAUACUUGAAAAUGGUCCUCAAUGCCAUGACGUGGCUGUCAAUGCUGUGGUCCCCUUCUUUUCUCUCCCUAAACACGCCCCCACCACUUUUCCUUUUUCCCCGUUUUGCCCCUCCAUUUCUCUUCUUUCCCUUUAUAUUCUCUUCACCUUCUCUCCCUCUUCCCUCACUUUCUUUUCAUUUUUCCCUCACCUUCUUCUUCUUCUUCUUCUUCUCCUCCUCUCUUCCCCAUUUUUCCAAACAAUAACUCUCUGCUUUUUCCUUGCCAUGUCAGCCGCCGUCGCUGCCGCUGCCGCCGCUGCCCUCUCCCGUCGAACCUCCUCCUCCUCCUCUUCCUCCACCACCAUCACCCGUUCCUCUUCCGAUUCUUUCUACUCCCACUACUACCCCUCCGUUUCCGUGUCGGUUCGACCACAGCCAUUGGUCAGCCGCUACGACUGCCUCAAACGUCGUGACUGGAAUAGGUUCCGCCAG